rnacentral:rRNA from 1 species
AUGUUUCCCGAGAGAGACUGCCUUCUCUCAGGCCAGCAGUCUUAUACUUAUAGUCGACUGCUCUAUGACGAUCUGACCUCUUUCCUGGGCUCUGCUUGCUCGUCUACGCUCCGACCAAUUCAGUCAAAAUCGAAAAACGAUGUUUCCUUGAAAAAGUCUAAGAAAUAG